rnacentral:rRNA from 1 species
GAUGAACGCUGGCGGCGUGCUUAACACAUGCAAGUCGAACGAUGAAGCCCAGCUUGCUGGGUGGAUUAGUGGCGAACGGGUGAGUAACACGUGAGUAACCUGCCCUUGACUCUGGGAUAAGCCUGGGAAACUGGGUCUAAUACUGGAUAUGACUUCUCAUCGCAUGGUGGGGGGUGGACAGAUUUAUUGGUCUUGGAUGGACUCGCGGCCUAUCAGCUUGUUGGUGAGGCAAUGGCUCACCAAGGCGACGACGGGUAGCCGGCCUGAGAGGGUGACCGGCCACACUGGGACUGAGACACGGCCCAGACUCCUACGGGAGGCAGCAGUGGGGAAUAUUGCACAAUGGGCGCAAGCCUGAUGCAGCGACGCCGCGUGAGGGAUGACGGCCUUCGGGGUGUAAACCUCUUUCAGUAGGGAAGAAGCGAGAGUGACGGUACCUGCAGAAGAAGCGCCGGCUAACUACGUG